rnacentral:misc_RNA from 1 species
GGGUGGAUGGGAUUCAACAAAUCUUGUGCUGCCGCAUGACCAUGACAUGACUUUGGAUGAACGUUCCAGAAGAGAACAAAACAGUAGUUUUUAGAGCAAUUGACAAUGUGUGACUUUUAAACUCUAAAAUACAGCAUCAAAUCAGAGAAGCAAUGGAUUGAUUUAAGCUAGUACAUCUGUAUAGGGAUAGAUUACAUAUUUGAAAAUGGCAAUACAAUGAGCCAUUCAUGGUUGUUUUUAUAUAAGUAAAACUAUCCAUCGUUCAAGCCGGAAAUAGAUUAUCUGGAUAAUGGAUAAUAUCACCGGAAAAAUUGUGACAAAUUAUUCAGAAACUGAAAGAUUGAGAUGUUUGGGUUAG